AAAGGAAUUAAGGGCG
rnacentral:rRNA from 1 species